AGCUUUACAAUUUGUUGUAAGGGCAUCACAACUGAGCAGCAUGUUUCUUGGUGGAAUGGUCUUGAGAAGCAUGGAAGGCACUGCUCCAUGAGAUGAGAAGCCAUGACCAGACAGCCACAGUUCCACUUUAAGCUGUCAUGUGCUGUCAGUGUAGUCCCACUCAUCCCCUUCUCUGGAAACUAUACUCUUUCACCCACCUGGCCACCAGGACAUUCGAGGGUCACAUGACUUGCCACCCUUGCCACAGUGGGCUGGCACAGAGGUGGGCAAUCAGCUCAAGCUAGGACUGUUAGGAGUAGCAAAUCCAUAUGGGUCUACAGCAACCUCCAUUUUUGCCUUGUCAGAAGAAAGCAUUCAACCAAGGGGCAUAAGGCAGAGUGAGAAACUGAGGCAAGUUUUACAGCAGGAAUGAAAGUUUAUUGAAAAGUUUUAGGUCAGGAAUGAAAGGAAGUAAAGUACAAUUGGAAGAGGGCGAAGUGAGCUGCUUAAGAGAUUCAAGUACCUGGUUUGACUGUUGACUUGGGAU
rnacentral:lncRNA from 10 species